rnacentral:rRNA from 1 species
UACAGAGGGUGCGAGCGUUAAUCGGAUUUACUGGGCGUAAAGGGUGCGUAGGCGGUUGAAUGAGUGUGAUGUGAAAGCCCCGGGCUUAACCUGGGAAGUGCAUCGCAAACGAUUUAACUGGAGUAUAUGAGAGGGUGGCGGAAUUUCCGGUGUAGCGGUGAAAUGCGUAGAGAUCGGAAGGAACGUCAAUGGCGAAGGCAGCCACCUGGCAUAAUACUGACGCUGAGGCACGAAAGCGUGGGGAGCAAACAGG